UGAACUUAGUAUUAUUUAUGAACCAUUUAUUGUUAUUCUUCUCCCAGACUCUGGUGAUUCCUGCUCUUUCCAUUUUUCCUUCUUGUUUGGGUCCAUUAUUCCUAGUUCAUCCCCAUUUUCAAGUUCCUAUUGCCCCUAGUAGUAUAUUUGAUUCACCUCAUAUUAAAAUACUAUUUCCUAACCAUUUCCCUUAAAUUUUCUAUUUAUCUUUCUAGAACUAGCCAUGGCCAACGUAGAAAAUGUUCUUGAGAAUAUAAAUGAAGUUGAUGGGAGAGAUUCUCCAAUAUCAAGGAUUUAUGAGAACCUUGAGGUCCCACAUGAUGAACCUUUAGAAGUUAACUACCCUAAUCCUAACUUUAUUACGAUGAGUGAUAGUUUUGGACCUAAAGGGGAUUUUGCAGUGAGUGACGACGGUACUCUUAGUACCUCUGAAGAAGAUAGAGAGGGGAACUCCAGUCAUCUGGAUUUUAUAAAAGUGGUUUCCCAUCUUGCCUCAUCCAUCAAGUCUUAUAUUUAUCCCGAUGUAGCCAUAGUGACUCUAGAUGAUUGAAAAGUUAUCUUAUUUACCAAUACUUUUAGGGUGGCACAUAGUUGGACCCUGAUGAUAUAUAACUUAGACAUAAUCUUGUUUUUAGGAGUAGCAAAGUAGUUUAUAGCCGGCGUUACCUUUUGCAUAACAGUCGAGAAGAAAUAGUUAAAUGGGGACAUGUAGAUUUAGUAUCGUCGAUAGAUGUUGGGAUGUACCAUUGGGCAGAUCCUGAGUUGAUGGAACAAUUUAUUUCUUUGAUAAUUCCAAGAAGGUGGAUGAGGCUCAAAUAAAACUUUGCUCUUCUUCUUAUUGGUCGGUCUCACAUGUUGACAUCGACAUUAAGGUUUACAGCUAUUUUGACAUAUGCUUUGUCCCUUUCUAUGAGUGUCUCUUUACUCGGCUAAAGUCCAGGUUUCUCUUCAGUAAGUUUGAGGAGGAGUUGCUAAAGCGUAUGAACAUAUCUCCCCCUAAUUGUACCAGUCUUCCUCGACCUUUGCUAAGAUGCUUUCAUUUCUCCAGAUGGCUAUGAUGUUUGGAGUUUACAUGGAUAGUUGGAAGAAUUUAAAAGCCCAUUUUCUCUUGGUGACUCUUCAAACUCCGAAGGCCCACUCCGUCUUCUGCAAGGUUCUCGAGGGGGGGCAUAUUCCUGAUGGUGCCUCUUACUCUUUCUCUAACAAAUCACUUUAGCCAUGAGUCACAUGAUUAUAUCUUUUCCUUUGGGAAUCUGACUCUAGAAAAGGUAUCAACAAAGGAAUACCUAGAGACCUUCUAGGAAAACCUGAGUUUUAUUUUUGAUGCCACGUAGAGAAUAUAACUUUUUAGUAAGGAAAUGAAAUUUACUUUAUACUUGCUUUUGAUAUUUAUUGGAUGUCCAAUAAUUAUUUUGUUAUUUUGCAUAUACCAUGGCAUCUAUCGAGAGUCUCAUGAAUAGUAAGAAUGUUAGGAUAGUGGUUGUUAUUCUCUAGACCCUUCCAGCUCAUCCAGUAUGUACUCAUAUGGAGGCGGCGUCGGGCCAACCUUUUGUUACUAUUAUUGUUGUCCAACCUUCUUCUACUAUUGAAGCCACAAUUUUCUCUCAAAACCAGCUGACUUCCUUUGAACAGGGAAAAAGAUAGAGCAAGAAGUCUAACGAUCAACCAUCUGAUGCGGGCGAUGGAAAAAACAAGCAAGGCCAAGAAAAGAAUCCCUCCAAAGGGGAAGGGUCGAACAAGAGGUUUAUGUCUUAUCUCUCCAAUUUCGUUGGGAUCACUCUAGUUGUCCUCAAAGUGACUCCUCCCAAAUUUCCAACUAGUAUCCCUCCUCAGGUCCCUCAUACCUCUCAAGAGGCACGUACCUAUAUCACUGAGCAGGAUGUCGCCUAUAUCCAAAGCCUCAAUGGUAUAGGAAAAAUGGAUUUGAUGUCUGAGAGUGAUUAUCAUAUGCUUCGUGAUGCUUAUUUGAUUACUCUGGUAGCUGAUGGACAUGAAGAAGUAUUCUCCUAUUGGUAACCAUUUCAAAGAGAACGAGCAAUUGAGGAGCUAACGUAAAGCUAUUGUCUAUGAGAGAAUUGUUUUUCAAAAAAAAGUUGCC